CGGGGUGUAGCGCAGCCUGGUAGCGCGCGUCGUUCGGGACGCCGAGGUCCCCGGUUCAAAUCCGGGCACCCCGAC
rnacentral:tRNA from 1 species